CCUACGGGCGGCUGCAGUGGGGAAUAUUGCGCAAUGGGCGAAAGCCUGACGCAGCGACGCCGCGUGAGGGAUGACUGCCUUCGGGUUGUAAACCUCUUUCGGUAGGGAUGAAGCCUUCGGGUGACAGUACCUGCAGAAGAAGCACCGGCUAACUACGUGCCAGCAGCCGCGGUAACACGUAGGGUGCGAGCGUUGUCCGGAAUUAUUGGGCGUAAAGAGCUCGUAGGCGGUCCGUCACGUCGGAUGUGAAAUUCCAGGGCUCAACCCUGGACCUG
rnacentral:rRNA from 1 species